AUCGAUUUAUUUUACAUCAGUUUUAUCAUUCUGUUCUUAUCACUUAUUUGUCCAUGUCUGGUCUGGCAUGUAAACGAGUUGCAAAAUUUAAUACAAAUCAAAUUUCUUUUUUUCCCCGUUUUUCUCUUUCCAUUUCUGUUUAAUAACCACUGCGGCUCUCAUCCAUGAAAUAAAGAGAAAGUUGAUGUGGACGCGGUGAAAAAGAAGAAUCAACAUGUGGAUUCCAACAUCAGUGAAGGCGUUGCAGCAUUGCAAAAGUUUGACGUCCCCUCCAAAAAGGGAGUUUUUUGCUUCCUUGAAUUUUAUUUUCAACAGGGUUUCAGCUGAGAGGGUCAAAGAGGUCGGACCCGACAGAGCCUGCGCCGAAUGGCUAAUGAAGAACGGAGCUUUCAUCAGGUGGAUCGGCAACUCGGAUUUCGUCGGACAUUACAACAGCCUCCCACUGGACCCAAAAUUGACCGGCAACUACAACAUUGAAGAAGUGAAAGCCGACCAGGCAUCUAUAAGUCACCACGGUUUCGACCAUUUCAGUGGCUGUCACAAUUUAAGUACAUUGUCCUUUCAAAAAUGUUGGUUCGUUGGCGACAAAGCAUUGUUAAAACUAGGUGUUCUUAAAGAUUCACUCGUCAACUUGGAAAUCAUCGCAUGUGACAUGGUAACAGAGAAUGGAAUCAAGGAUCUCAAGCAUCUCUGCAAUCUCAGAUUCUUGACUAUCGGGAAACUUAAAAACAAGGGUGCAAACAUAUACGCAUAAUGACGCUGCAUGACUGCUGGUUUGUCGACAACAUGGCCAUCGCAAAGCUGCGGUUUCUGAAAGAUUCGCUUACUUGUCUCACAAUAACGAACUGUCAAGAAAUAACCGACGAAGGGUUAUUAAAGAUCAGCAACCUUGUAAAUCUUCAAGAUUUUACAUUCGGCAAUAUGAUGAAUUUGAAAAACCCAGAUAAAAUCGCCAGUGACAUCAGGGAAGCGAUUCCGGGCUGCAUUGUCACCCAAGUCGAUCAAGUUGAAUAAUUAGUUUAUAUGAUUUGAGUCAUUUAUUUAUUUGUCCCUUGCUUUAAUAUUGUGAUGCAUCAGUUGUGCAGGAGACAAAGAUAUAAUUUGAUUAUGUAACGAUAUUUUCUUUGUCUGAAAAUAAAGAAAAGGAAAAUUCACAAAA